ACAAAGUAUUGGGGCACCCAGGAGGGUGCACAAGGAAAGCAGCCAUUUACUGGUACUGUUAUUUGCACUGUGAUUUGGUACCUGGCUGGUCUGGGAAUUCUGGCACCAAGGACCAGACAGUGGUUUGGACUUCUUUUAGUUAGUUAGGGAAAAAAAAGCCAACCAAGGCUGUGUGGAAGGCAGUUUCUGAGCAAAGGAAUCAUGAGCACCUGCUCCGGCUCUGUCCUCCCUUCUCCUACCACGCUGGCUGUGACUGCACAGGCAUCUGAUGGAGCUGGCAUCUCAUGUUUUAGAGAAUAAACCCAAGUAAAGGCAUCCUGGAUAAUAUCACUCAGAUAGCACCGAUUCAACUCCUGACCUGGCAGACAGUGCUGGGUGUCCCACCGUGCUCCAUUGAGUGCACUAAGCCUCACAUAAGCCCACUAAGCCACUGGGCUACUUUGGCUGCCUACACCAAGCUGCUGGAGUAACCACGCUGCUCCUGGGAUCCUGCCCCAAAGGGGAUUGCUCCAGCCAACCCUGGAAGUCGGGAUGCCUCGGACAUGCCAUGAAGAAGCAGAGAUGCACAGCAUGUAGUGCCACGCUGCGGUCGCAGUUGCUGAGUGUCCGUGAGCUAGAAGCCUCUUGGGGUAUCACAACAACCCUCUCAAGAUGACUGUGCUGGAGCGCUAUGACUGAAUCAAGAUGAACAGACUCAGCCUCUCAGCCAGUUUGGAAACUGAGGCACAAAGAAAAGUGACUCACUCCAUAGCUAACUACCAGAAACUGUUCUAAGGGAUAGAAGCCUUGCAAGAAAACACAAUUUUUCAUUAAGCAAGAGGAGCUGACACAAGUGCCCACUGUAUCCGUGAAAAGUUGACAGUGUUACAGAACGAAGGUUGUGAAAACUGUCCCUGUGAAUAUCGGUGGAGACCACAUUUUGAGAGCAGCCAAUGCCUUCCCCUGCAGAGUGAGCAGAGUUCGGUUGUAGCAGAUCUGCAAGUUUGCUGCAUCUUUUGGUUUGUCUGAAGACCAUCUGAUCUUGCUCCUGACAUGGAUCCCAAGGCCAAGCACAAGGGAAGAGAAGCAUUCUGUGGGGCUGAUGAGCCUGGCCAAACUCCAGCAUGGAGCAGCACAGAACUGCUGUGUGUCCCAUGGGAACAGUCACAGCCAGGUCCUCUGUGUUGUCACUGUGGUAGCCAGGCCUUUGGAUGUCCCUCAAAAUUCUAAUGGGGCUCUGUGGGAAGAGGACAGCAGUGUUUUGGGAAGAGACAACUUUGGUAAGGGAGCAGAUGCCCAACUCCAUCUUGAUGUGAAACCUUAACAAUUACCUUCCGUAACACGCUGUAAGAUCUUCAAUAA